GCACAGGUAGGGUGGGGGUCUCAGACAGCUUUUCCAGCCAGAAUGGUUCUGUGAUUCUAAUAAUGAGCUAUACGAGUCAUCCCAAGGGUGAACCUGCUAUCUAGUCACUGAAAUCUAUUGAGUGGGUAUUUGGCUUGCUUUUUUUAGGGUUAAUUAAACCUGCAUGGGGUUGGAUUGAGGGGAAAAAAAGGAAAUCAAGCUGAUUACAGACUUUGUUUCUUAGUAGGAUAACUGAAACACUGGUCUAACUGUUAUUUAUUAUACAAAACGGGCAUCUUGUGAUUUGCUUGAAAUGAAAAAUGGACUUGAAUGGCAUGGCCAUUGGUCAUGGGCCAUGAAGAGGGGAUGAUGGCACUGCGCGGUGAGCCACCACAGCCCUGCACCAUUCCAGCAAGUCACAUAUAAAAGCUUAAACGCUUGCCCCCCACUCUUUGCCAUGUGGUCCAUUAAGUUAGGUGCAGGCAAAGGGCAUAUUUGUCAAAUGCACAUUGUGCUGACUCAGCAUUCUGGUUAUCUGUUGGGCAUUCAAUUUCACUCUGGUGCAAAGCCUUUUUAGUUUCCCUUGGCGAAUAAAUUACAAAUGCUAAUUUCUGCUCAGUUGAAGAGAAGAUUAAGGCAGUGUAACAGACAGGCAUGCCAAAAUAUUUAUUGAAUAAGUUGCAAAAGCGAAACAAAAAGGCUGUGUAUUUCAAACUGAGUGCUGAGCAGGGCUCUAAGCUGAAUUUAAGAGCAGCUCCUUUAUUCACCCAGAAUCCAAUUUAGUGCGAGUAUAUUAUAUCCAGCAUCUGUAUGCUGAAAUCCACUGCUGAAUAAGCUUCUAAAAUUCUAUUUUCUGCAGUUUCAGUGCAUACUUGCACAUAUGUUUCUUAGUAAAUCACAGUAAUGACCCUAAUUCCAUGAGGAGGACCUAAAGCAAAUGCUGCCCCUGGGCUGCUACUCACCCAUCCACAACUGCUCUACGAGCACUGUACCAUUGCACCAGUGAAAUAAGUCAUCAAGAGUGACCAAGGGACUCAAAGUGUUCCGUAGGCAGCCAUCAUCUUGCUGCUUGCAGAGCGUGCAGGAGACUGCAUAUAAGCCCAGCAUCAGUCCUGCAGGAGUCAGCAGCCAGGCACAGACUGGCUCCUGGUGCUGUCUGAUGGAGAGUGGCUGCUGGGUGGAAGGAGCUGCUGUUCCCUCCUUUGGACCCAGAGUAACUUUUAAAUCAUUCUGGGAAGAAAGGAAUGGCAUAUUUGGUGUCUCAGAUGUUCCUCGAGCAGUACGACCUGCACAGAAGUGACAUAUAGUGGACACAAAACAGCUCCUCAAUUAGGGAGACGUAGGGGCAGAAUCACAUCUCCCCAGCAGAACUCAAGAAGCCCUUCUUAGCACUACCACUGCGCAACCGAAGGUAUUUGAUCUGAAGUAUGAAGAAUGAUUUAAUCAGACAGAUUAACCUACCUGGUGCAUCUGAAACACUUCCAUUCCAUCGAAGUCCAUCAACAACAUAGGCUUUAAGUGGAGUUUUAAAAAGUUUAUGAGAAGAAUAUGGAAGGAAUAAGGAGAGUGACAAUUCAGCACGUUUUAGCUCACGUGCUUCUGCAGCAGAAGGUACAGCACUGGGAAUGGGGGCACUGCUGUGACUGACCC
ensembl:lncRNA